UUUAUUUGGUAUUAAUAAAAAAUGACUUAGACUUUUAAAUUAGGACUUAAAGUUCCAUCAGUUAGACUAAUAAAACAGUUAGACGAUACUGGCUGAAAGUAGGUAUUUAAGUUUAACAUCCAAAUACCGUUGCUACUUUAAAAAACAUUAGAUUUGUAGCGUGCACCCGUACGAUUGAUAUUGAUAUCCAAGAAUAAGAAUUUAUUGCUUUUUAGCAAGUUAAAGUUCGUCAGCUCUAUGGCGCUAAUCGAAAUACAAACGUAUAUUUUGCGCACAUACAUGGACUCGUGGUACACAGACACGCGUAUUCCAUGUGUAUCCGCUCCCAAGACGAAACGACAUUAGCCGCUCUUAUCCAUUCAAACAAAAUGUCAAAGUGCCAGAUGAUAAUGCGGAGAAGAUAAAUCAAGCAUGCUGAAAAGAUGACGGUGAUAAAUGUAAAGCCGUCUGCCAGGCGGCCCCGGAGAUAGUUACUGAGAUACACGACGAGUCGUGACUGAUGGCGAUGUCGUGAGAUGUGGUAUCAUAAUAAUUCAUAAAGGCCGAGGCCAGAGGCUUAAUCGCUGAUUAAUGAAAGGACAGACUUGUCCCGAUCUCGUUCUUCCUUUUUCUCGUUCUACUUCUCUUCCUUCUUUUUUCUCUCGCUACACCAUAGUUGCUGCUGUGGUUGCUAUUGCUCUUACUUGCUUUCUUCUUCUUCUUCCUCUUCCUCCUUUUCGUCCUCCACCUUCGAUGCUUCUGCUUCUUCUUCUUUGUCGACAGUGCUGCCGCCUGACGUAUGUACAUGUACCAACCGAGCGAGACGAGUAAUCCGACAUGUGUUCGUUUGGGCGAUAGAACCAAUUAAUGUUGCGGCGGCGACGCAACCGUCGAGUCCAUAUUUCACCGAGCCAACCUCCUUCCACAGAAUUCCUCGACACAACUUCGAAUCUAGAAGAGGUUACCCAAAGUCAUCCGUAAAGCCUCCACUACCAACCGCGUAUACGUAUUAAUCGCUCCAGUAACUAUUUGAUGAUCACGCAAACGUGUUUGUUUCGCCACAUUUUUUAUUCUUUGUGUUAUAGCUUGUGAUCGAUCGUUUUUCUUUUAACAAUGUAAGGUAACAACUUAUACGUGUAUUUACGAGCUCUAUCUUCAAAUGUUACAAGUUUUAUUACUAUCGUAAUUUCAUCAGUUACGUUGCUUGUAUAUGUUUGUUAUACUUGUACGUGAAAUAUACGUACAAUUAAAUAAUUAAAUAUUAAAGCAUUUACUAAUUCUUAAAAAAGCGAAUAGUCCAAGGAAACAUGUUUUAACAGCUUCCAAGAAAUUUCUCAAAUUUAUUAUUCUCUUUCAUAUUAAGAUAUUUAUAAAAUUAUCUUUGAACGCGCUUAAAAUAAAAUACCGAUCGAAAAAAUCGCCUUGAAACUCCAAAGAAAAACAUCAACGAUGUGUCUGUUUUUUAUAGGUAUGUAUGUACGUAUGUAGCUUGUAAUAAUGAAAGAGUAUUAUGUACUAAUUGUAAGUAUAGGGUUGCCAAGAAUAGAGUUGAAAACGUAAAACAAAAUUAUGCCGAUAUAUAUCGUAGAUAUAUGCACGAAAACUACAAAUAAUGUUUGAUUUCUGGCUGUUUGUAAUCGUUGUUUAAAAGAAUUACAGUAAAGAAAGGUAACAGCUUUACCGACUAUACAAUGGCCACGUAUUUACCGCCAUCUGAAGCGAUUCUCAACUAACUUGCAACUUGGAAUUUGUUUCUAUUUAAUUUAACCUAGAUUUAACAUUAUGUGUUUGCGAUUCCAUUCCUUUUGCCUACUAGCGAUUUUUUUGAUUUCGUGCCUGUUAAACACUGUUGAAUUAUACUCAAUAAUAUUUUGACACUUUCACAAUGGACUAUUCAUUAUUGAAAUACUAGACAUGGAACUAGCUGUAAUGCUGAGAAGAAUUCGCGUCUUGGAAAAAAGUCCUUUUUGGGUACGGCUUCUAUUCAAAAGCCUGGGACAGUGUUUUAAGCCAUUUUAAUGGUUUAAGUUAUACAGAGAAUUUUUUACUCUGGGUGAAUUAUGUCAUAACUUUUUUAAGAAAUACAAAUACAUAUGUACAACUAUGAAAUUUUGUACGUGCAAUAUUUCAACAAGGGUAUUAACGGAAGAAAAAUGUAGGUAAGGUGAAAGUAGUAGUAUCUAGAUUUCUAAUAUUAAUCAUCGUAACUUAUGAUUUGUAGAUUCCUCGAUAUUUGAUAUUAAUGUUCAUUUAUACAUUGAAAUCAUAUUUACUAUCUGUCAUAUUUUAACGAUGGCUUUAAGUUUGCCUCAAAUAUUAUAAUUAUAUUAACAAUUUAAUAUCAUGUAUCGGCGUUAUAAGCCUUCCAGUAAAAUAUUUAAUAUCUAAUAUUUGAAGAUAUUAUCAUUAUCGAUCGAUGCGUUCUUUAUUUGUCUUGGAAUGAACGAAAUUCGUAUCGAUUAAAUUUUAUAUUGAAAGUAAUAAAAAUGUAGAAAUAUUUGAUAGAAUAAUAAUAAUGAGAAACACGUAUUUGACGUAUUAAUACAGCGGCACGUCGUUACUUCGAUUCUUGAGCGGUAUAAACAAGUUAGUAAAUGCAGUAUUUGUGCGAUGCUGUAACUGAGAAGGGAAACUAUCCUCUCCAUAAACUUUACAACGUGUAUGUCAUAACUUUUUCUUUAAAAUAAGCGAAACAAAUAUGUCGGGUGCCAUUUUAUGUAAUAACGAGAUUUCUUAAUUAACUGAAUAGUGCGUUGAUUGGAAUUAAUUGAUCGACGCUCUCAUAGAAGUAACAGUACUUGAAUACAGUUUCAAAGGAACGCCGCUACUCGUUGUAGAUACAAGUAAUUAUACAUACCAACCUCAUUACGUUAUACACUGUUUCUUACUUAUUAAUGCCUAAAAGAUCGCUUAGCAUUCCUGGAAUAGAAAUUCAAGAAUUUCACUCGUAUAUUAUUCGUAUCAUGUCAGUGUAAAUUGAUUUAAUUAAAUAUCUUUAUUCGUUACGCCUAGUUGGUGAUUUAGUGCUAGAAUACAAUUUUUGUUUUUCUUAUUACAUAUUAACCUUCCAACGAGGAAACGCUAUGUAAGAACACGAAAACAAGAUUAAUAUACCGUUUACUUUUACCGGAUGUUUCAUUUCCGACUUUGUUAAACUACGUUACGCGUUCUAAGUAACUAUAACAAAAUACCGACACUAAGGCGAACAGUAAAGCAAAGAACUAAAUUUCUACGUUCGUGUUUAUUGCAAAUUGAAUCAUAAUUGAGAAAAUUAUACGUUGAGAAGCAAGUACAUGGCACUAUAAUAACGAGUCUUCCUUGUUUUGUUAAUUCAUCCAGAUUGCUUGAUGUUAAAGUCAUUUCCGAGUGAAAACGAAUCGAAGUAACGAACCGUCUGCUACGUCAAAUUUCGUCACGGUACACGUGUACCCUUUUUCGUAGAUGCAACAAUGCUUAUCGCGUUCAAAAUCUCCGCCUCGUAACUUUGCUCUUUUGCCACGGAUAUAGAAACAGCGGUGGAGAUUCGCCUACAUUCUUCGCGUUUGUUCCGUAGGCCACGAUUUAUUGCUAGCUACUCGUGUAUUUACGUGUUCGUGCGACCGAAACAAUCUUGGUAUUCCGUGUUCUGACUGAUGAGAAUGUAACAGGAAUUUCUGUGCAACAUCCAUGCGUUCAUCUAAGAUGUUCGGUCUUAAUCUGGUUCCUAACAAUUUUAGAACCAGACGUUUGUUUUAUGUAAUAAUGAGGUCUCAUAAUUAACCGAGCAUAUACUCCGCUGAUUGGAGUUAAUUGAUGGAUUCAGCGUGCGAAACGGUGUUAUUGCACCUAGCAAAUGUCUAAUAAAAAGGUGAGAGACCGUCGUUAAAGUAGCGAAAAAAUUGUCGAAGUGUAAAAGUCCUCCGUUUAACGGACAUCUUCAAGAUAUAAAAUUCAUCACGUGAAAUUCCGACUCGAUGAAGUUAUACCGUAGACGGUAGGGCGGAACACUUUUAAACAUUUCCAAUUGGAUGGACCAGUUUCAUCGUUUGAGAGAUGUUAUACAAUUGAUUCGAUGUAUCACGUAACGAAAAAAGUUAUUUGUAUGAAUAUCACGGAUCAUAGAAAUUCGUGAAUCUAUUGAGAACGUCCGAAACAAUUUAAAGUUUGGUAGUAUCAGCGCAUACCUACGAUAUGGAUAGGAGGAUUAUAAGACUGGAGAAGAGGAAAUUAAGGAUGAUGGCGAUGGCUAGGUGGCGAAAGAGAAAGAAAGAGAGGAUGAAGGUGCGAGUGAGCGCGGCGCGAGUAGUGGAGCGGGGGCCGGAGAGGAGGGGAGGCGAAUAAAACGCAGGGCUGCGUGCCUGCCGGUAAUCACGCGUCGGGAUAAAGUUAUUCCGGGGCAUAAAUAACCGACAUGUCUGGAAUAAGGCAUUAAUUUAUGUUAUUUAUCGCCCAUUACGCAGCAAAGAAACAUUCGCAUGGGAAAUAAUGUAUCAUUCUCAACACGCGUCUGCGGCGAACUCGGGGAAUUGAGAAUGAUUCAGAAUGCCAACGAACGGACGAACAGCCGUACGUAUGUACAUCAUGCUCUCUAAGAACCGACAGAGGUAAUGUUCGACGUAUACGUGGCUGCAUGCAUCGUGGAUGCGGUUGCGUAACGUUGAGGUGCGUUUCGAUCCAACAGACUCCGGAACGCUCUUAAAAAUCUCUUAUCUGUACACAUCGGAGAGUGAUGUUGUACAGGUUUAAACGUUCUUUCCACUUUUUGCCCUCUUUUUACACAACGCCCAUGAACAUUAAUAGCGAUCUUAAUUAUGCCGCGAUAAAGGCCUAUUAGGCCUUUAUUAAAUGAAGCCAGUCAGUUUGUAAUUGCGAUUUGUGAAAUUCCGGUUUAAUUCCCACCUGCUACCUCUUUCUUCGAUCGCAUAAUUAAGAUAACGUAGUAACAAUGUGUAUAAUCACUAUGACAUUUUUCACUUGGUACAGUACCUACCUAUUUCCGGCUCUUAGCAGUUAAGUUUGCGAAAAAACGUUAAUGUCAUACGAGAUUGAUUUUAAUGUAACGUGUAUGUUAAUAUAUGCGCUAUUACCUGUA